AUGCCAGGAUUACCAUCAGGAGCUGAAUUACAGCUUGCCUCAUCUCGGACAUCCAUGAGUCUUAAACAUAGACCUCCUCUGCAUCAACAGAAAUGGGAUGAUUUCCACUGGACAGCAGUGAGUGAAAAUGUUAAGUGGAAUUGUAUUUUUUAUAUUACUUGUUAGAAAAGGAAGAUGGGGUAAAUGGUGUUUACUCAAUCAGUCCUCAGGUAUAACAGAGUACCCAGUUCCACUUAAGUCAUGAUAGCAGAGGUAAGAAGCAAUUCUCCUGGUUCCUUGUGAUUGUUUACCCAUAAACCGCAAAGGUCUUUGGUGGUUGGUGUGUUAUUUCUUGCUGCUUUUAACCCUGGAGCUAGAUUCACCAAGCUGCUACUUGAUCCCUUCUGUGAAGACUCCAAGAUGAGGCCACUAAGAUGAUCAGAGGGCUGGAGCACCUCUCCUAUGAAGAAAGGUUGAGGGAACUGGGCUUGUUUAGCUUGGAGAAGGCUCUGGGGGGACCUCAUUGCAGCCUACCAGUACUUGAAGGGAGUGUAUGAACAGGAGGGGAAAUGCCUGUUUACAUGUGUUGAUAGUGAUAGGACAAGGGGGAAUUGUUUUAAACUAAGAUGGGGAGAUUUAGGUUAGAAAUUAGGAGAGAGUUUUUCACUCAGAGGGUGGUGAGGCAUUGGAACAGGUUGCCCAGAGAGGUUGUGGAUGCCCCAUCCCUGGAGGCAUUCAGGGCCAGGCUGGAUGCGGCUCUGGGCAGCCUGCUCUAGUGGUUGGCAACCCUACCCAGAGCAGGGGGGUUGAAACUAGAUGAUCUUUGAGGUCCUUUUCAACCCAGGCGAUUCUAUGAUUUUGUAAAUGAAAAAGUAAACUGCUAGGAGGUGAAUGGCUGUUAAUACCUGACAUCUUGAAAGAAGUGAGGAGUUACUGGAACAAGGCAGAAUGCUAAGUGGUCACACAUGUGGGCGUGUCUUUACCUUUCCCCAUGAGGUAUCUGAGCGGAUGCAGGGUCCCAGGUGACACUGUAGCUGGUGUGUCUAGUUAAACUUUAAAUGGACAAUUUGUCUAGCUGGCACAAAGGAGUCCUUCAGCUCAAGGGAUUUAACCAAACUUCUGGCUUAAUUAGGAAAAGAUUAACUAUGUCUAUGUUUAAACAUCUGAAUCGUGGAUAAAAUAUUUC
rnacentral:lncRNA from 1 species